AGACACAUGAACACCGACACGUUGAACGCAUAUGGCGCAUCGGACGAUUCAACCCGACCGAUGUACACAUUCUUGAGUGCCUAC
rnacentral:rRNA from 1 species